UUUUUUUUCAUGGGGGGUUGGAGGAGGGGAUACAUUAUAGCUACAGGUAUAAUCAGAUGCUAUUUUCGUUUAAAAUCACCUAAUACAGUACACCUUUAUAUUAAGUCAAGGUAAAACACUAUUAUCCUAUGUAUAAAAGGCUGCUUUUUUUCUUUUUUAGGGGGGUUGGAGGAGGGGAAGGUGUUGCUCAAGGUUAAAUCAGAUUUUCAUUUCAAAAUUGUAUAAUGCAGUAAAUUUUCAUAUUAAGUUAAGGAUAAACACUGCAAUUCCAUGAUAUGGCAGGCUUUUUUAUCCUUUGUAGAGGGGUUGGAAGAGGGGAUACAUGAAGCUAAAGGUUAAAUCAGAUUUUAUUUCUUUUUAAAAACAUGUAAUACAGUACACCUUUACAUUAGGUCAAGGUAAAACACUGUAAUCCCACAAUAUAACAGGCUGGUUUUUUUUCUUUUUUAAGGGGGUAGGAGGAGGGGAAGGUGUUGCUCAAGGUUAAAUCAGAUGUGUUUUUUUUUUCAUUUCAAAAUUGUGUAAUACAGUGAGUACACCUCUACAUUAAGUCAAGGUAAAACACAGCAAUCCCAUGAUAUAACAGGCUGCUUUGUUUUCUUUUUUAGGGGGGUGGUUACGUAGGGAGGGGGUUGCGCUCAAGGUUAAAUUAGAUGUGUUUUUUUUUUAUUUUAUUAAAAUUGUGUAAUACAGUUCACCUCUACAUUAAGCCAAGGUAAAACACAGCAAUCCCAUGAUAUAACAGGCUGCUUUGUUUUCUUUUUUAGGGGGGUGGUUACGUAGGGAGGGGGGUUGCGCUCAAAGUUAAAUUAGAUGUGGUUUUUUUUUUAUUUUAAUAAAAUUGUGUAAUACAGUACACCUCUACAUUAAGUCAAGGUAAAACACAGCAAUCCCAUUAUAUAACAGGCUGCUUUUUUCUUUUUUAGGGGGUGGUUACGUAGGGAGGGGGUUGCGCACAAAGUUAAAUCAGAUGUGGUUUUUUUUUAAAUUUUAAUAUAAUUGUGUAAUACAGUACACCUCUACAUUAAGUCAAGGUAAAACACAGCAAUCCCAUUAUAUAACAGGCUGCUUUUUCUUUUUUAGGGGGGUGGUUACAUAGGGAGGGGGGUUGCGCACAAAGUUAAAUUAGAUGUGGUUUUUUUUUAAUUUUAAUAAAAUUGUGUAAUACAGUACACCUCUACAUUAAGUCAAGGUAAAACACAGCAAUCCCAUUAUAUAACAGGCUGCUUUUUCUUUUUUAGGGGGGUGGUUACGUAGGGAGGGGGGUUGCGCUCAAAGUUAAAUCAGAUGUGUUUUUUUUUUAAUUUUAAUAAAAUUGUGUAACACAGUACACCUCUACAUUAAGUCAAGGUAAAACACAGCAAUCCCAUAAUAUAACAGUCUGUUGGUUUUUUUUCUUUUUUAGGGGUUAGAGGGGGGAAUAUAUGUACAGUGUAUCUAAAGGUUAAAUGUUAAUCAGAUGUUAUUUUUGUUUUAAAAUCAUGUUAUACAGAACACCUCUACAUUAGGUCAUGGUAAUAGAUUGCAAUCCUAUGAUAUUAUAACAGGCUGAUUUUUCUUUUUUAGGGGGGUUGGAAGAUUGGAUACAUGUAGCUUAAGGUUAAAUCAGAUGUUAUUAUCUUUUAAAAACAUGUAAUGAAGUACACCUUUACAAUUUAAGUCAAGGUUAAACACUGCAUUCCCAUGACAUAACAAGAUGGGUGUGUUUUAGGGGAGGGGAAAAUGGGGGAGGAAGUUAUUAGAGGAAGGUUAAGAGGGGAAACCUGUUAAGUUACUAUCUUGUUUUAUUAAAAAGGGUAUCUAGAGAUUAACAUUUGCUCUCAGACUAUCAAUCAAUUAAUACAUGUUAUAUAAAUCCUGUUUUCGAUCAUCCCAUCUAUAACA
rnacentral:lncRNA from 1 species